AUGUAAGAGAGGUGAACCUGA
rnacentral:siRNA from 1 species